GCGGCCCCACUCGCUGGCCCUUCACCGUGUCCCUGUCCUCGCAGGCUCUCGGUCAGGCACAAGCUGUUACCCCGCAUCCCCAAGGUGAAGAAGGAAAUCACCGGGACCUUUACGCCGCCCCUGGAGGUCGCCUGGGAGGCGGGCCACUUGCCCCAGGAACCCGAGGACGUCCUCAUGGUGGAGGAAAUGUGACUGCCGUGGGGACAAGCGGAAAUUGUGGCUCACCCCCUGCCCCCGCCACUCCUGGAAAUGUCACAUAUCUGCAUCGUCCCCUCACAUCUGGGAAAGGUUUCUCACCUGACCUGCAACACCGCCACCCAAAACCCAGCAGCACGGCUUUCCGGCUUUCUGCUCGUGUCCAUGCGGGCGGGCGGCGUGGGAUGCUAGCCGUCCGUCGGUCCGUGUCUCUGAAGCACAAAGCAAACGCUGAGGGACGUGGAGAGCGGCCGGCAUGCACCCCAGGCCCUGUGUGUUGGUCCUACAGGCUCAGAAGCAACCGGAAAACGGGCAAGAACGUCCACGUGGACUUGUCCACUGGUCACUCCGUCCCUGCAGAGAUUUGGAACCAAGGAGGUAGAAGGUCCCCGUUCCCAUUAUGCACCUAGCCCAUCCCAGCGUGACAAAAGACAGAGGCAUCCGGGCGGUGGGACCGUCUCCAAGGAGAGGGGCUCCCUCCUGGGAACACAUAGGCGCCUUACCGAGCCCUGGGGACACUCACCACGCUGUGAGCUUGGCCGUGGCUGAGGACGUGGGAGGAAAGAAAGAGCAUUUUCUUCAGACAGAUAUGCCCUACCGUCUGCAUUAGGGAAUCGGCACCUGUCUGGAUUCCUUCCAAAGUCGUGUCGUUGCUUUUAAAGACAGCUGUCUCCGUGGCACGUGGGGCCGGGAGGCAGGCGUUUCCACGGAUGUGAAAGGCAUUGGGGUAAAUAUCGCUGCUGAGACAUCCGACGGUCUUGCAGGUCGUUUUUUCCUGAGGUUUUCCUGCGGAAAGCAGGAUCGGGACGUCCUUCUGUCUGUCUCUCCGUGCGUGUCUCUCCUGGAGCUCUCGGGAUAAGGAAAGGGAUUGGGGAAGGGGACCGCCAGCUGUCCCCCCAGGAGGCCGACGCCAGGCACCCAGGACUCGGGAUAGUGACACAGACGUCCGCUUUUCCCGUGCACCUUUCCGCUCGGGGCUCACGGGGCACAGAAUGGGGACGGUCUGUGGCGAAUUUGGGGCAGCGCCCGUCUACCGCGUUUCUCUACAAUGCAUGCUAAAGAUCGCGGUGCAGCUGUGACCAUACAAGGAAGAAAACGCGGUUCCGGACUGUGUGUGCUCAUGCCAGGGCACGAGGAAGCCCACAGGAGGCGCUCACCCACACCUGGGCGGGGAGAUGCGCGCUCCGAUUACACGGGACACCCCGAUCCACUCACAAGUCUACACUGUGGGAAGCCUGGGGGGCUCAGUCGGUGAAGCGUCUGCCUUCGGCUCAGGUCAUGAUCCCAGGGUCUUGGGAUCGAGUCCCACGUCGGGCUCCCUGCUCAGCGGGGACUCUGCUUCUCCCUCUCCUGCUCCCCCUGCUUGGAGAGAUAAAUAAAUAAAAAUGUUUUAAAAAAUAAAAAAAAAAA
ensembl:lncRNA